rnacentral:rRNA from 1 species
GAUGAACGCUGGCGGCGUGCCUAAUACAUGCAAGUCGAGCGAAUGGAUUAAGAGCUUGCUCUUAUGAAGUUAGCGGCGGACGGGUGAGUAACACGUGGGUAACCUGCCCAUAAGACUGGGAUAACUCCGGGAAACCGGGGCUAAUACCUGCUAACAUUUUGAACAGCAUGGUUGGAAAUUGAAAGGCGGCUUCGGCUGUCACUGAUGGAGGGACCCGCGUCGCAUUAGCUGGUUGGUGAGGUAACGGCUCACCAAGGCAACGAUGCGUAGCCGACCUGAGAGGGUGAUCGGCCACACUGGGACUGAGACACGGCCCAGACUCCUACGGGAGGCAGCAGUAGGGAAUCUUCCGCAAUGGACGAAAGUCUGACGGAGCAACGCCGCGUGAGUGAUGAAGGCUUUCGGGUCGUAAAACUCUGUUGUUAGGGAAGAACAAGUGCUAGUUGAAUAAGCUGGCACCUUGACGGUACCUAACCAGAAAGCCACGGCUAACUACGUGCCAGCCGCCGCGGUAA